GGCCCAAACUGAGUAGCAAUGCGAAAAGCAUGGUCGUUCAAACCCUGGAAAAGCAUACGACGCUCGUCGUCUAGGUUUUGCUUUUCCAGGUCAUAUGCAGGAAUGCAUGUGGGGUCCGCAAGGAUCC
rnacentral:sRNA from 1 species